rnacentral:rRNA from 1 species
AUUGAACGCUGGCGGCAGGCCUAACACAUGCAAGUCGAACGAGUGGCGGACGGGUGAGUAAUGUCUGGGAAACUGCCUGAUGGAGGGGGAUAACUCCUGGAAACGGUAGCUAAUACCGCAUACCAUCAGAUGUGCCCAGGUGGGAUUAGGUUGUUGUUGGGGUAACGGCUCACAACGGCGACGCUCCCUAGCUGGUCUGAGAGGAUGACCGGACACACUGGAACUGAGACACGGUCCAGACUCCUACGGGAGGCAGCAGUGGGGAAUAUUGCACAAUGGGCGAAAGCCUGAUGCAGCCAUGCCGCGUGUAUGAAGAAGGCCUUCGGGUUGUAAAGUACUUUCAGCGGGGAGGCGUUACCCGCAGAAGAAGCACCGGCUAACUACGUGCCAGCCGCCGCGGUAAUAC